rnacentral:rRNA from 1 species
UCAAGUGAAUAAGAGCAUAAGGCGGAUGCCUUGGCACUGGGAGCCGACGAAGGACGUGACAAGCUGCGAUAAGCUACGGGGAGGAGCACAUAUCCGUCAAUCCGUAGAUUUCCGAAUGGGGGAACCCACCUAUAGUAAUGUGUAGGUAUUUUCGUAUGAAUCUAUAGUACGAAUAAAGGCAACCCGGGGAACUGAAACAUCUAAGUACCCGGAGGAAGAGAAAGAAAAAUCGAUUUCCUAAGUAGCGGCGAGCGAAAGGGAAAGAGGCCAAACCGUUAGUUUACUAACGGGGUUGUGGAUCACAGCCGUGGUAGAUACAAGUUUAGCAGAAGACAACUGGAAAGUUUGCGACAUAGAGGGUAAUAUCCCCGUAUGCGAAAAAUGAGUAUCACCUAUGUGACACCAGAGUAGGACCGAACACGUGGAAUUCGGUUUGAAGCCGGGGGGCCCACCCCCCAAGCCUAAAUACUACCCAGUGACCGAUAGUGAAUAGUACCGUGAGGGAAAGGUGAAAAGGACCCCGGGAGGGGAGUGAAAUAGAACCUGAAACCUUAUGCUUACAAGCAGAGGGAGCGCAAGUGACCUCGUACUUUUUGUAGAACGGGCCAACGAGUUAUGGUAUGCAGCGAGGUUAAGGUGCUGGAGCACUGGAGCCGUAGAGAAAUCGAGUCUGAAAGGGCGAAAGUUGCAUGCUGUAGACCCGAAACCGGGUGAUCUAUCCAUGUCCAGGUUGAAGUAACUGUAAUAGGUUAUGGAGGACCGAACUUAUAUCUGUUGAAAAAGGUUAGGAUGAGGUGUGGAUAGGGGUGAAAUUCCAAUCGAACUCGGAUAUAGCUGGUUCUCCUCGAAAUAGCUUUAGGGCUAGCCUCGUAGUAAGAUACCUGGGGGUAGAGCACUGAAUGUUCUAGGGGCCUUCACCGGUUACCGAAAACUAUCAAACUCCGAAUACCAGAGUAUCAUCUACGGGAGUCAGACUAUGUGAGAUAAGUUUCAUAGUCGAAAGGGAAACAGCCCAGACCGUCAGCUAAGGUCCCAAAAUAUAGGUUAAGUGGAAAAGGAUGUGGGGUUGCACAGACAGCUAGGAUGUUGGCUUAGAAGCAGCCAUUCAUUCAAAGAGUGCGUAAUAGCUCACUAGUCGAGUGACCCUGCGCCGAAGAUAAACGGGGCUAAAACCUAUUACCGAAGCUACGGAUACUUAAUGUAUGGUAGAGGAGCGUCGUAUACGGGUUGAAGCAGUACUGUAAGGUAUUGUGGACUUUAUACGAGAGAGAAUGUUGGCAUGAGUAGCGCGAGGCAGGUGAGAAUCCUGCCCACCGAAAAUCUAAGGUUUCCUGAGGAAGGUUCGUCCACUCAGGGUUAGUCGGGGCCUAAGCCGAGGGCGAAAGCCAUAGGCGAUGGAUAACAGGUAGAAAUUCCUGUACCACCGAAGGUUGUUUGAAUGAUGUGGGGACACAGGAGGAUAAGCUGAGCACGCCGUUGGUAGAGCGUGUCCAAGCGUCAAGGGAGUAUGAAUAGGCAAAUCCGUUCAUAUAUAUUCUGAGGCGUGAUGGGGUGGUCAAUAGACCGGAAGCAGCUGAUUUCACACUGUCAAGAAAAGCCGCUAAUUAGACCUAAGGUGCCCGUACCGCAAACCGACACAGGUAGAUGAGGAGAGAAUCCUAAGGUGAGCGAGAGAACUAUUGUUAAGGAACUCGGCAAAAUAACCCCGUAACUUCGGGAGAAGGGGUGCCUGCUUCGGCAGGCCGCAGUGAAAAGGCCCAGGCAACUGUUUACCAAAAACACAGGUCUCUGCAAAAGCGAAAGCUGAAGUAUAGGGGCUGACGCCUGCCCGGUGCUGGAAGGUUAAGGGGACGUGUCAUCGCAAGAGAAGCACUGAACUUAAGCCCCAGUAAACGGCGGCCGUAACUAUAACGGUCCUAAGGUAGCGAAAUUCCUUGUCGGGUAAGUUCCGACCCGCACGAAAGGCGUAAUGAUCUGGACACUGUCUCAACAAUAGGCUCGGUGAAAUUGUAGUACCGGUAAAGAUGCCGGUUACCCGCAGCAGGACGGAAAGACCCCGUGGAGCUUUACUGUAGCUUGAUAUUGAGUUUCGGCGUUGCAUGUACAGGAUAGGUGGGAGACAAUGAAGCAAGUACGCCAGUAUUUGCGGAGUCAUCGUUGGGAUACCACCCUUGUAACGCUGGAAUUCUAACCAUGUACCGUGAUCCGGUGCUGAGACAGUGUCAGGUGGGCAGUUUGACUGGGGCGGUCGCCUCCUAAAGAGUAACG